rnacentral:tRNA from 1 species
UGGGAUGUGGCCAAAUGGUAAGGCACCUGUUUUUGGUACAGUAGACUGUAGGUUCGAAUCCUACCAUCCCAGCCA